rnacentral:rRNA from 1 species
UACAGAGGUCCCAAGCGUUGUUCGGAUUCACUGGGCGUAAAGGGUGCGUAGGUGGUCGGGUAAGUCUGAUGUGAAAUCUCCGAGCUUAACUCGGAAAUGGCAUUGGAUACUAUUCGGCUGGAGGUUUGGAGGGGGGACUGGAAUUCUCGGUGUAGCAGUGAAAUGCGUAGAUAUCGAGAGGAACACCAGUGGCGAAGGCGGCUUCCUGGCCUGUAACUGACGCUGAGACGCGAAAGCGUGGGGAGCGAACCGG